AUGAAUAAAUUUGGUCGAGCUGUUGCUGGCCCUUCGGGCAUGUGCACGCUUGCCACCAAUUUUAUAACCACCUGUGCACCUUUGUAGACUAGAAACAAUUCUCGAGGCAACUCGGAUUGAGAACUGCGGUGUUCAAAGCAGCUGUUCUUGUGUUUCUCAGUCUAUGUUUUCAUAUACUCCAUUGUGUGUAUCAGAAUGUAUUGUUAGGCCUUUAGUGCCUUUAAAUCAAAUA
rnacentral:misc_RNA from 1 species